CGCAGGGCCUAAGGUUAAAACCCGUUCAUUCAAAAACGCUGAUAGAUUACGAAUCAAUAUACCCUAGAAUAGAAAUUCUAUGGUCAACUUCCCACUUAUUGUCACGUGACCGAUUUUAGUUCACUUCUAUCUCGUAUCAGAAAUAGAAGGCGCAAGUCGGCUUCUUUUCCAAAAGAGAGUUUGCGCACUCUGGUCAUACAAUUUAUCUUGAGGGAUGGCACCAAGAUAUGAAUUGGCUGUUGGGCUUAGGGUUGCCACCCGUACUUUAAAAUAAAGUAUUGUACGUUAUUUUGGACGUACAUACUUUAUAUUUUGUAAAGCAAUAAAGUACGCUAAAAUACUUUAUUUUACGAAUACUAAGUUUUCAUUAACACGUUCACGGCGGAUGUUACCGUGUCGCGUAUAUGUGAUUUAUUAUUAUGAGCGCAUUCCGUUUCACACAUUGAGCGCAUAGAUCGCCUGGAAAUCUAUAGUUCACGUAACAUAUAUUAGUAUUAGAGGAACAAAGCUUCUCUAAAUUUAAUUAAAAAUGAGUUGUUGAUAUAUUUAAAUUUAAAUAUCGGUUGUAAAGACGCUGUAGAAGUCUUUAAAAAAGACAAACACUUAUUAGAUAUUGCUAAAAGUAAUAAAAAAUAUGCAUGGAAAAAUAAAUAAUAUAAAAAAUA